rnacentral:rRNA from 1 species
UACAGAGGGUGCAAACGUUGCUCGGAGUUAUUGGGCGUAAAGCGCGUGUAGGCGGCUUGUUAAGUUGGUUGUGAAAACCCAUGGCUCAACCAUGGAAGGGCGUCCAAAACUGGCAAGCUAGAGUCCCGACGAGGAUGGCGGAAUUCCCAGUGUAGAGGUGAAAUUCGUAGAUAUUGGGAGGAACACCGGUGGCGAAGGCGGCCAUCUGGGAGGGCACUGACGCUGAGACGCGAAAGCGUGGGGAGCAAACAGG